rfam:Cavia porcellus supercont2_48 genomic scaffold, whole genome shotgun sequence.
UGGCACCCAACGUGGGGCUCCCAGCACGGGGGUGUCAACGAGGGAGCCGUUCGAGAAAGCCGGCUAAAAGUGAAAGCAAAUUGAACCAAAGACCACGGCGAUAAGUAAGAACAAACUAAAUCAAGGACUAAGGCUAAAAGCAAAAGCACAUUAAAUCAAGGACCGAGGCCUGUGUGGACGACUACCCGAUGUGCUGCCCGAGUCACAGUGAGUGAACGGCAACCCCAUUCCCUUUCCCGGACAUGGGUCAAGCAUUGAGCGAACACGAAUUGUUCGUGGGAGGCCUUAUAAAGGCAUUAAAGACAAGAGGGGUAAGGGUUAGAACAAAGGAUUAUUGCAUAGUUUCAAUUUAUUCGUAAGGUUUGCCCUU